GGGCAGAGCUCGGGUCUGCUGUGGGGCGGGGGCGUUGUGAAGGGGGAAGAGCCCAGUUCUGCCUGGCGUUGGCUUUGUAAUGGGGGCAGGCGCUGUGCUCCUCUGGGUGCAGUGGGGCUGGGGCUCCAUGAUGGGGGGGAGGUUGCAGUAGCCCAGACUCGGUGUGGCUAGGAGGAGACCGUGGUGGGUGCCCAGGGAGGCCCCUCACUGAGGUUGGGAUGGGGAGCUUAGGCCAAGUACACAGUUGUAGUUGUAACGUGGCUGUUCUGAGCCCACCAGUACCCCUCCUUGUUGCCCAUCUUAUUGUCUCACAGAUUUCCCCCAACCCCUCUGGUACGGGGCACAGGGAACAGGCCCAGUUGGGCGAGUAUCAGACUGUGGAUGAGGUGCAGUUUGUCGGCUCUCUCCCCAGGCUCAGCCAGGCCAAGGGAGCCUGCUCUGCUUCUGAGCAUUGGCUCCUCUGCAGUGGACUACAGAAGUUUCAUAAGUUAAUUUCGUUGCUUAAACAGCAUGUGUCUGAUACUUUUUAACAUGCCUGAAUGUAAUCCUGGGUGCAUUGCUGUGCAACUGAUUUGUGAAAAGGCAAUAUUUGCCAGGUAGGUGGCCCCUUGGGGGUUUUGUUAGGCUCUAUUUGGUCAGACUCUGACACUGAGUUAGAUAACACAUUGCUUCAUGACACUGGGGCAUUCAGACUACAGGAGGAUGGAACAUGUAACCAGAGUUUUCUGCAAAUGGCCAAGAGGACUAGAACCUCAGCUGCAUUCAUCCUUAGUUUAUUGAUUUUGUGCCCAUGCCGGGGAUCUGUUUACCUUGGCAGCCAGCAACUCAGUUGCUCAUUCAAAUAACAAAGGUAUCAUGAGUGCAUCUCUGGCCUAGCUCCUCUUUUAAGAAAGAACAGCAGUGAAGUGAGGCCAUUUGUCUUUUCUGGGAAGAACCUGUGUGUAUGACGUAAAAUGAAGUGGUUCCUAGAGCCGGGGCAUAGCUGGCAGAUUGACAUGUACAAAUACACUGGCUAGGCUGCAGCCCUUUCAGAAAUAGAUAUGCUAUUAGAAAUGCCAUAACAGAAGAGGAUCAUACAGAGAGACGGGGGGGGGGGGGGGGGGGGGGUUGACGGGUGACCAAAUGCCUCCCAGUCACCACAAGAAGAAUUGUACUAGAAAAUAAAAGUCCACCAUCCCCAUACCCACCUGACACUAGGUGCCUGUGAAUUGCAGAAGGGAAUCAGGUAUGUUUAUAGGGUGAAUUUACUAUUCGUCAAUGGUGCCUGACUGCCCUGGGGACUGGAAACCUGUUUCUUCCUGCACUAUGAACAGCAUUGAUGCCCACUCUCUCAUUUCAUCUCCACACUUUACUUCCACACUGACCUAUAGGGCUGAGGGGAUAUUUGUUUCUGUGACCCAUUUCCAUUAUUUAAAUUGGUUAGUCUCUAAGGUGCCACAAGUACUCCUUUUCUGUUUACUCCUUAGUGUCUGUGCUGAGGUUGCCAAGUAGGUGUCAAUUAGUGCUAACUGCAGUGUUGUUGGGUUUUUUAGGUAUGUCCGCAAGUUACUGGGCUGAGCUCUCCCUCCCCGCCCCCCUCUACAACUUUUCACAUAGGCCACCAAAUAGCAAUUACAGAACAGCCACCUUCAGUCACUGCAUCCCUGGGCCAGAUUUGAACCAGCAAAAUGGCGUUCAGAUCCCAUAGUGAUUGGUGGACAUCAGAAACACCUAGAUAGCCCUGGCAACUGUGCUGAGUGAGCAUUCGAAUUAGUACUACCAGUAUUCUCCACGUGGUGGCAGCAGACAGACAUGCUUUAGGAAACCAAAAGCUCUCCUUUUCAAUAUGAGAGCCAGAUUCAAGGGCUCUACUCCAAAUUGUUUUUGUGAUACAGGCAUCUAUCCACCAGGACCUGCACAGAGAAAUCUCAUAUUAUUUCACAUAGCCCCUGGAUGAACUGUCGUGAUUUUUGUUCUGUGAAGAGGAAGUGUUGUCUACUGGUUAGCGCAAAGAACUGACCAACAGGACAGGUUCUAGCCUUGGUGCUGCCACCUUGGACAAGGUUACUUCUGUGCCUUAUUUCUUCCAGCUGUACAAGAGGGAUAAUAAUCCUCAUGGAACUUGCCUGGGUGGCAAGGCAUACUUAACUGUGAUAAUGGUGAUGUUUGGAGAUCUUCACAUGAAAGGUGCUCUAGAAAUGCAAAGAAUUAUCAUUAGCACCAUCUUCAGUUGGAUUUGAGCCAGUGGCUGAGAGUUUGGAAGCUAGAGUAUCUUUCCAUAUAGCUGCGGGAAUGCUUGUCAAUGGAGUGCCAUUUAUCUACUCCCUGGAGAUACUCAUCAGGCUGCACAUGCUUAAUCGUGAUUUCCAUAGUUCCUGAUUCCUGACAUAAAUUAGGCCUCUGUUUUAACUUUUGCUCCCAUGAAGUGGGGGUGGGGGCAGAGGAAGGGUCUACUAUAACAAAUUCUAAUGCUCCAACAAAUUUCCACAAAUAUUAAAGCCUAUAAUCGCCA